AGUCACCUCUCACCCAGAGCCUGGCAAAUUCAGUCUCUUUCACAGAACCUAAAGCCAAGCCAGGUUCAAUGGGAAAUCCCACCUGUCCAAACACUGUGUGAGACACCAGAAUUAGAGGCCUGCAAGCCUGCUUCCUUCAUCUCCAAUGCCCAGAUGGGACAGGUCACCAGCCUCCUGUGUCUACCCCCACCUUUCUUGCUUGCUGUGCCUCUCUCAUCCCUGCAAUCCAGACAGCACAUGCAGCAGCUCAAAUAAGUGCCACCUCUGGAUGUGAAAAACAAGACCCAGAGAGGGGAAAUCAUUUGAAUCCUGUACUGGUAUUGCUUUGUGUUCCUGGAUUUGGAGAAUUUCUGGGAACACAGGAAAAGGAAAGACAGGAUGAGAAGAACUCUCCUCAGAUCCCUCCAAAACAGUUUGGAAAGAAUUUAUCUAGGACCCCUUGCCUACUUCUAAGGGCCCCAGAGGUGUCAGCAGGGGAGGAAGACUGUGCCAAGGGGCUGGAAAGGAAGAUUCUCUUGUUGGGAGAGGAGAUAAAAGCCUGAAAGUGGUGACAAGGCAGAGGGUGAAGUUUGGGAACUGAGACCUGUAGUCCCACCUGUGGGGCUGGCUGCCUAAUGUGUGGCAGAACAUUUAGAGUAAGUAUUGUUUGUAGGACUUAUUAAAUGGCUGCUGUUUACAGAGCUGCUGUUUCUACUGUGGAACACACAGCAGUGGAAAGGAGCAUGCAUUGAAGGAGAAAGGGUGGCAGGCUUUCUGUAAGCCCUCUUUUUCACCCUUUGUCCAUCCCUACUCCAACAUAUUGCAGUCAUGUUAGAGCUAGGGCUAAAAGGCCCUAAAAGCAUUCAGUCUAUAUUCUGGGUGUUUCUCCAAGGAACAGAGCCUCCUUUCUUGUAACUCCUGUCAGAUCUGCCUCCCACUCCUAAGGCUUUUUUGUUUG
rnacentral:lncRNA from 1 species